rnacentral:rRNA from 1 species
UACGUAGGGGGCAAGCGUUGUCCGGAAUCAUUGGGCGUAAAGCGCGUGUAGGCGGCUUGGUAAGUCCGCUCUGAAAGCCCGGGGCUCAACCCCGGGAGGCGGGUGGAUACUGUCAAGCUCGAGUCCGGAAGAGGCGAGUGGAAUUCCUGGUGUAGCGGUGGAAUGCGUAGAGAUCAGGAAGAACACCAAUUGCGAAGGCAGCUCGCUGGGACGUUACUGACGCUGAGACGCGAAAGCGUGGGGAGCAAACAGG